UACGAAGGGGGCUAGCGUUGCUCGGAAUUACUGGGCGUAAAGAGCUCGUAGGCGGUUUGUCGCGUCGGCCGUGAAAUCUCCACGCUUAACGUGGAGCGUGCGGUCGAUACGGGCAGACUAGAGUUCGGCAGGGGAGACUGGAAUUCCUGGUGUAGCGGUGAAAUGCGCAGAUAUCAGGAGGAACACCGGUGGCGAAGGCGGGUCUCUGGGCCGAUACUGACGCUGAGGAGCGAAAGCGUGGGGAGCGAACAGG
rnacentral:rRNA from 1 species